rnacentral:rRNA from 1 species
AUGACGUUGUGCGCCGAUUUCGAUGCGCUCCGGGCGUCGGCGGCGGACGUGCGGAUCGUCACGUCGGACGGACAGAGUAUCGCGGCUCAUUCCUGCGUUCUUGCCUCGGCGUCGCCGGUACUGGAGCGCAUGAUCGACAGGGCGCGGCGCGGGUGGGGCGCCGAUUGCACCAUCCGCGUCCUCGGCGUCUCCUUCGACGCCGUCCGCGCCUUCCUCCAUUUCCUCUACUCCGCCAAGGUAGCACCGGAGGAGGAGGAGCUGGUGGGCGCGCACGGCGCGCAGCUGCUGGCGCUGGCGCACGCGUACCGGGUGGGAUGGCUGAAGCGGGCGGCGGAGGCCGCGGUGUCGGCGCGGCUCACGCCAGAGCGCGCUGUCGACAUGCUUAAGCUCGCCAGGCUCUGCGACGCGCGGCGGCUGUACCUGCACUGCGCGCGGCUCGCCGCCAAGGACUUCUCCGCCGUCGAGCGGUCGGACGGGUGGCGCUUCGCCCGCCGCCACGACGCCGCGCUCCAGCUCGAGCUCCUCCAGCUCCUGGAGGACGCUGACCAGCGCAAGGAGCGGUGGGCGCGCGAGAGGGCCGCGCAGGAGGCGUGCCGGCAGCUCGGCGAGGCCAUGGCCUCCCUCGAUCACAUCUUCCCCAGCGACGGCCCCGCCCGCGGGGACGCGCCGUGCGACAAGGCAGGGUGCACAUGCCGGGGCCUGCAGCUGCUGAUGCGGCACUUCGCGACGUGCGCGAGAAAGGCCGCGCCGGGCGGCUGCGCGCGGUGCAAGCGCAUGCUGCAGCUCUUCCGCCUCCACGCCUCCGUCUGCGACCGGCCGGACAAGGCCUGCCGUGUGCCGCUCUGCAGCCAUUUCAAGGCGAAGGCGCAGACGGAGAAAGAGGACAAGACAUGGCGGCUUCUGGUGAAGAAGGUGACGAGGGCGAAGGUGAUGUCCUCCUUGGCUGAUAGGAAGGUGGUGCCGGAGGUUGUGGUCAUGUCGUGGACGAUGUACAACGGCAGAGUGGCCAAGUUGAGAUGA